GAUGAACGCUGGCGGCGUGCUUAACACAUGCAAGUCGAACGGUGAACACGGAGCUUGCUCUGUGGGAUCAGUGGCGAACGGGUGAGUAACACGUGAGCAACCUGCCCCUGACUCUGGGAUAAGCGCUGGAAACGGCGUCUAAUACUGGAUAUGUGACGUGACCGCAUGGUCUGCGUUUGGAAAGAUUUUUCGGUUGGGGAUGGGCUCGCGGCCUAUCAGCUUGUUGGUGAGGUAAUGGCUCACCAAGGCGUCGACGGGUAGCCGGCCUGAGAGGGUGACCGGCCACACUGGGACUGAGACACGGCCCAGACUCCUACGGGAGGCAGCAGUGGGGAAUAUUGCACAAUGGGCGCAAGCCUGAUGCAGCAACGCCGCGUGAGGGAUGACGGCCUUCGGGUUGUAAACCUCUUUUAGCAGGGAAGAAGCGAAAGUGACGGUACCUGCAGAAAAAGCGCCGGUUAACUACGUG
rnacentral:rRNA from 1 species